AAAAACAUUUCUAUUAGAAAUAAUUAAUAGUAAAAUCUGCUCAAUGAAAAUUAAAUAGCCGCAUUUGUGCUAAGGUAGCAUAAUAAUUUGUCUUUUAAUUAAAGACUAGAACAAAAGAUUUAACAUCUUAAUUCAUUUCUCAAAUUUUUAUAUUAAAAUUAUUUUAAAUGUAAAAAAACAUUUAUUUCAUAGAAAGACGAUAAGACCCUAUCGAACUUAACUUCAGUUUAACUGGGGUAGUUAAUUAAUUAUAAUUUUAAUUUACAAUCCUAAAUUAAUUUAGACCUAAUAUAAUUAAAAACAUAACCAAGUUACCGUAGGGAUAACAGCGUAAUAAAAUUUUUAAGAUCUUAUUUAAAAUAAAGAUUGCGACCUCGAUGUUGAUUUAAUUAUCCUAA
rnacentral:rRNA from 1 species